UCAUGGCCCUUAUGACCAGGGCUUCACACGUCAUACAAUGGUCGGUACAGAGGGUCGCUAACCCGCGAGGGGGUGCCAAUCUCACAAAACCGAUCGUAGUCCGGAUUGCACUCUGCAACUCGAGUGCAUGAAGUCGGAAUCGCUAGUAAUCGCGGAUCAGCAUGCCGCGGUGAAUACGUUCCCGGGCCUUGUACACACCGCCCGUCACACCAUGGGAGUGGGUUUCACCAGAAGUAGGUAGGCUAACCGUAAGGAGGCCGCUUACCACGGUGGGAUUCAUGACUGGGGUGAAGUCGUAAC
rnacentral:rRNA from 1 species